UACGUAGGGUGCGAGCGUUGUCCGGAAUUAUUGGGCGUAAAGAGCUCGUAGGCGGUCUGUCGCGUCGGUCGUGAAAACCUGCAGCUUAACUGUGGGCGUGCGGUCGAUACGGGCAUGACUGGAGUUCGGCAGGGGAGACUGGAAUUCCUGGUGUAGCGGUGAAAUGCGCAGAUAUCAGGAGGAACACCGGUGGCGAAGGCGGGACUCUGGGCCGAUACUGACGCUGAGGAGAGAAAGCGUGGGGAGCGAACAGG
rnacentral:rRNA from 1 species